rnacentral:rRNA from 1 species
CCCUUAGAUGUUCUGGGCCGCACGCGUGCUACACUGAUGCAUUCAACGAGUCUAAAACCUGGUCUGAUAGGGCUGGGUAAUCUUUUGAAAGUGCAUCGUGAUUGGGAUAGAUGAUUGCAAUUCUUCAUCUUCAACGAGGAAUGCCUAGUAAACGCAAGUCAUCAGCUUGCAUUGAUUACGUCCCUGCCCUUUGUACACACCGCCCGUCGCUCCUACCGAUUGAAUGAUCCGAUGAAUACCAUGGAUUGAGAGUACGAAUGGGUUCGCUUAUUUCUGCUGCUCGAGAAGUGGAGUAAAUCUUAUCAUUUAGAGGAAGGAGAAGUCGUAACA